rnacentral:rRNA from 1 species
AUUGAACGCUGGCGGCAGGCUUAACACAUGCAAGUCGAGCGGGCGAGGUUGCUUCGGUAACUGAGCUAGCGGCGGACGGGUGAGUAAUGCUUAGGAAUCUGCCUAUUAGUGGGGGACAACAUUCCGAAAGGAAUGCUAAUACCGCAUACGCCCUACGGGGGAAAGCAGGGGAUCUUCGGACCUUGCGCUAAUAGAUGAGCCUAAGUCAGAUUAGCUAGUUGGUGGGGUAAAGGCCUACCAAGGCGACGAUCUGUAGCGGGUCUGAGAGGAUGAUCCGCCACACUGGGACUGAGACACGGCCCAGACUCCUACGGGAGGCAGCAGUGGGGAAUAUUGGACAAUGGGCGCAAGCCUGAUCCAGCCAUGCCGCGUGUGUGAAGAAGGCCUUUUGGUUGUAAAGCACUUUAAGCGAGGAGGAGGCUACCUGGAUUAAUACUCUGGGAUAGUGGACGUUACUCGCAGAAUAAGCACCGGCUAACUCUGUG